rnacentral:rRNA from 1 species
UACAGAGGUCUCAAGCGUUGUUCGGAUUCAUUGGGCGUAAAGGGUGCGUAGGCGGUGUCGUAAGUCGGAUGUGAAAUCCCGGGGCUUAACUUCGGAACUGCAUUCGAUACUGCGAUACUCGAGGACUCGAGAGGAGAUUGGAAUUCACGGUGUAGCAGUGAAAUGCGUAGAUAUCGUGAGGAAGACCAGUGGCGAAGGCGGAUCUCUGGAGAGUUCCUGACGCUGAGGCACGAAGGCGUGGGGAGCAAACAGG